AAUAUAAUUAAGUUAUUUCAUGAAAAUAGUCAGCCGGUAGAGCUGAGAGAUCCUGUAAAUGUCCCAAAGGCUGCAACACAAACUUACCUUUUAUUAAACAGUGAUUCAUGUGGAUGAGAGACUGCAUAAAUGUCUCAGUAAUGACAAAAGUUUCAAUUACAGUUCAUUAUGGGUCUCAGUAUAAAUCUGUGGGAAACCAGAAUUCUUGGGCUCAUGUUCUCCCAGAAUAACUUGUUUAAUGUCCUCCAGUCAGAGGUAGGUGCAAGUGGAAGGGGUAUAUGAAGAGGGAAAGAGAUAAAUGAGAAAUUACAAACGUCUGUAUUUUGCAAGUCAUUUCAUCUGCUUUGUUGUGUGGGCCUGGCCGUAAAGCUUGGUAUGACAGGGGCUUCACAAAACUGAGAUUAAAGGGGGGGAAAAAAAAAGUAGAAAGUACACAUAGAAAUACAAGAUCCAUUAGGACAGACAGCUGAAGAUGAGAAGGAAACUGAAGGCACUUGGAAUGGGAAGGUGCGGAGAGGUUUUCACAGUGGGGCAGAGAUUACGGCAAUGGUAUCUUCUUCUGAAUUCUUCUCUGAGGAGAGCCCUGCUGCUGCUAGGAGCAAGCUGUCUGGUUUUACAAAAGUCAGAAGAGAUGGUACUUGGAAAGAAAGUAAGAGAAUGCUCAAGAGUCAGUUAAGGUGAGACAAGGAAAACUUGUUGGAGGUAAAAAACUUCCCCAAGUACCAAGUUCUGGGAGAGGAGCUAUCAAAAUAAAUUUAGUAAGUUCCAUUAAAGUAAGUAAACAAUGGUCUCUUUCUACAAAAAUACAAAUGUAAAUUGCAUACCAGUAAACGCCCACAAAAGGAGACAGUAGAAGACAGAAACAAAACUGCACAGAAUACCCUAUCAGAAAAUAAUCCCUUAAAUUUGGCCUGACACUAGAGAGAUAGCAAAAGUACAAAUAUCUGUUACUGUGAAUGUGAGAAAUGCACAGCUCACACUGUGAAUUACUGCUGCUGAAACCCUCAUAGCACACAGCGCCUGGGUGGCAGAGAUUCUGAAGAAUAUGAAAUUAAGUGGCCUGAUAACUGCAUGUGUUUGGAAUGAGUACUUAUCCAUCACUGUGGCACUAGUUUGUGAGCUUGGCUACCUUAAAUUACCCCAUACCGAC
rnacentral:lncRNA from 1 species